UACGUAGGAGGCAAACGUUAUCCGGAUUUACUGGGCGUAAAGCGCGUGUAAGCGGUUUGAUAAGUUGGACGUGAAAGCUCCCGGCUCAACUGGGAGAGGUCGUUCAAUACUGUCAAGCUAGAGGAUGGUAGAGGGAGGUGGAAUUCCGGGUGUAGUGGUGAAAUGCGCAGAUAUCCGGAGGAACACCAGUGGCGAAGGCGGCCUCCUGGACCACUCCUGACGCUCAGACGCGAAAGCUAGGGUAGCGAACGGGAUUAGAUACCCGUGUAGUCCCUGAG
rnacentral:rRNA from 1 species